AUACAUGCAAGUCGAGCGCACCUUCGGGUGAGCGGCGGACGGGUGAGUAACGCGUGGGAACGUGCCCUUUGGUUCGGAACAACACAGGGAAACUUGUGCUAAUACCGAAUGUGCCCUUCGGGGGAAAGAUUUAUCGCCAUUGGAGCGGCCCGCGUUGGAUUAGGUAGUUGGUGGGGUAAAGGCCCACCAAGCCGACGAUCCAUAGCUGGUCUGAGAGGAUGAUCAGCCACACUGGGACUGAGACACGGCCCAGACUCCUACGGGAGGCAGCAGUAGGGAAUCUUGCGCAAUGGGCGAAAGCCUGACGCGGCCAUGCCGCGUGAAUGAUGAAGGUCUUAGGAUUGUAAAAUUCUUUCACCGGGGAAGAUAAUGACGGUACCCGGAGAAGAAGCCCCGGCUAACUUCGUGCCAGCAGCCGCGGUAAUACGAGAGGGGCUAGCGUUGCUCGGAAUUACUGGGCGUAAAGGGCGCGUAGGCGGAUAGUUUAGUCAGAGGUGAAAGCCCAGGGCUCAACCUUGGAACUGCCUUUGAUACUGGCUAUCUUGAGUUCGGGAGAGGUGAGUGGAAUGCCGAGUGUAGAGGUGAAAUUCGUAGAUAUUCGGCGGAACACCAGUGGCGAAGGCGACUCACUGGCCCGAUACUGACGCUGAGGCGCGAAA
rnacentral:rRNA from 1 species